rnacentral:miRNA from 1 species
UUUCCGGCUUAGUGGGUGUGU